GGUAGUAAAAGUCGUAACAAGGUUUCCGUAGGUGAACCUGCGGAAGGAUCAUUAAUGAGUUGUCAUGGGGUUCGAUGCUGGCAGCCAGUUUUUGGAUGCAUGUGCUUGCCCUAACAAUCAUCUUCUUCCAAACACCUGUGCACAUUUUUGAGGGAGUCUUGAGUUGGUUGCCGCUCUUGGGUGAUUUUCUCACAUUCCCUUAAAUCAUUAUACGCUAUUAACAAUGUUGAACGUGCUCUGUGCCGCAAGGCCAUUAAUAUAAUACAACUUUUAACAACGGAUCUCUUGGCUCUC
rnacentral:misc_RNA from 1 species